rnacentral:rRNA from 1 species
UAGGGAAUCUUCCACAAUGGACGCAAGUCUGAUGGAGCAACGCCGCGUGAGUGAAGAAGGCUUUCGGGUCGUAAAACUCUGUUAUUGAAGAAGAACGUGUGUGACAGUAACUGGUCAUGCAGUGACGGUAUUCAAUCAGAAAGUCACGGCUAACUACGUGCCAGCAGCCGCGGUAAUACGUAGGUGGCAAGCGUUGUCCGGAUUUAUUGGGCGUAAAGCGAGUGCAGGCGGUCUUUUAAGUCUGAUGCGAAAAGCCUUCGGCUUAACCGAAGAAGGGCAUCGGAAACUGGGAGACUUGAGUGCAGAAGAGGAGAGUGGAACUCCAUGUGUAGCGGUGAAAUGCGUAGAUAUAUGGAAGAACACCAGUGGCGAAGGCGGCUCUCUGGUCUGUAACUGACGCUGAGGCUCGAAAGCGUGGGUAGCAAACAGGAUUAGAUACCCUGGUAGUCC